UUUCUAUCGUCACAGAGCAUUGUUUUGGAAACAAAUAUUGGCAAUAUACAAGCGGUUGUGGAUGAAUGAUAUACGUUUUUGCUUCUCUUUUCUCCCUCCCCAAAAUUUCAUUAGUUCUGUAAAAUCCAAAAAAUAGAGACAAUGAACAGAAAUCCAUUAAUUAUGACGGAAUGGCGAAGGCAAAUUUGUUCCCUCCCUCUAGACGGAAGCAUUUUUAAUUAUCAUCCAAACGGCAUCGAAAUAUUUUGAAUGAAUAGACGAAUUCAUAAACAAAGGCCAGACACAUAUACAAACAACAAGAAAAAAUAUCUCAUCGUUCUAAGGCAAAUAACCAGCAUGGAGGAUUUGAAUUAGGCAACAGACUAAGACCGCAAAAAACUACUUGAGUUGGAAAUGAUAAACGUUUCUUCCGAGUUCUGUUUUCAUUCUUGCCAUGUUUCUUUUUUUCUGUUACAUACAUCCAAUUAACAAUCUCUUAGGAAAUCUAUCGAUGGGGGGUGCGUAUGAAAUUAAAUUAAACGUCAGUAAAAAGGGUCAACAAUUGGGGUCUUUCCAUUUCGCAUCUAUGCAUCAUUGGGUGACUUAGAGCUCACGCCAAAACCAUGUAACAAAGAUGUAAAAUGUAAAGUCCACUUGAGAUGGUCAUGGCGUUUUUUAACCUACAUUCGUAUAGCAUCAAGUCAAUGGGCGUGGGUUAAGUGAAGAAUUUGUUUGUCUCUCCAUAAGAAUUGUGGAAAAUUAAAAGUUCACGUAAGGGGUUAAUUUGGGCUUCUUUUAAGAAAAACAAUGUUGUUGUUGUUAUUUUAGUUUUAUAUUCAGUUUUUCAAUUUUGAAGUUGUAGAAAAUAUAAGAGAGAUCCGCACAAUUACCGAAAGGCAAAAUUGAUGGUUUGGUCUUUGCCAUUCACUUUUUAA